rnacentral:rRNA from 1 species
CCCUUAGAUGUUCGGGGCCGCACGCGCGCUACACUGAAGGAAUCAGCACGUCUUUCUCCUUGUCCGAAAGGACUGGGUAACCCGCUGAACCUCCUUCGUGCUAGGGAUUGGGGCUUGUAAUUCUUCCCCAUGAACGAGGAAUUCCCAGAAAGCGCGAGUCAUAAGCUCGCGUUGAUUACGUCCCUGCCCUUUGUACACACCGCCCGUCGCUACUACCGAUUGGAUGGUUUAGUGAGAUCCUCGGAUUGGUCCCGGAGCGGCCUCUGGUCGUGCCGGAGUGCCGAAAAGAAUGUCGAACUUGAUCAUCUAGAGGAAGUAAAAGUCGUAACA